UCACAUGAAACAAAAGAUUAUGAGAUAGACAUAGAUGGAACAUACAAAACAAGCACACCAGUAAAUGUUUUAUUUUCGGUAUGCAAUACCGAGGUGGAACCUUUUAGAUCUGUGUCAUCCCCUCACGUUUAGUGAAAUACCGGGGUGGUUGGAACUUGAUUUGGUCCAUCCUGUCAUCAACUGUUUUUCAAUGGGACGACUUCUGAACAUCAGAGAGAUCUUGACUGUCAAGAUACGUGAAUUAGGCCACUGAACUUUUCAAAACAAAACCAACACAGGUGAAAUAUCUGAGCAUCUCCCUUGACAAUAAAUUGUACUGGGCAAGUCAUAUCGACAACAUGCAUAGUGCCUAGCAAACAUAGCGGCCAUGGGUUGUAUGAGAACCACUCUAUCGGCAUCACUUGACUUCUUUCUGAAUCUCAGACAUUUAGACCUCAUUAUUCAGGAGGAAGCACAAGCACCCACUCUAAGACUUAAAGGAAACGAUCUAUGAAAGCAAAACAAGGAGACAGGAUAUUCCGCGAUUCUGCACAAAACCCUAAAAGAAAUACCCCUCAUCAACAGGAUAGGUACCCUGUGUACACAUCUUCGACCAAAGAUAAUAUCCAGCUUACAGCGGAAACGCGAAAUUGCUCUGGAAUCAAUGAAGUUAGGAUAUACCGACGUCUUCAAAACUGAAAUAAGUACUAGGAGGUCUUCUCGAAUGACCUAAACAU